GGUGGGCUUGCUUUCUGGUUUGCUGCGGGAGGGUCCCGCGCAGUCUUAGGGGAUCUGAUAACGUAGCUCCGGAGCGGCUGCCCACGUCUGUAACUGGUCUUCACCUGCGUAGUGUGAGCGGAAGUCUUGAGCUUCUAUUGCCCCGGUCCCCAGGAGACCUGGUGGGCCAGAGCAAAGUCCAAGAGGGAGAGUCCAGAAGAACAGGAGAGGCAUGGCAGCAAGCAGCAGGCAUGACAGCAGGCACCGGAAGCUGAGAGAUCGCAUCCUCCACAGGAAACACAAAACAGGGCGAUGGAACAGGAAGUGGGGUGGAGCUAAAAGCUCUCAAAAGCCCAUCGCCCAUAACUCCACCAACUUGGGAACACAUGUUAAGUACCUGAGCCUAUCGAUGGUGAACAUUUCUCAUUAAAAUCACAAGAUAUGUACUGGUGACCUGCUUUGGCCAAGUCUCAAGUUAAUGAAUACUGCUGUAUACUAAACAACGUGGGUACCCAGCUAGUGCCAUGAACCCAGUGCUGAUGUACAAAAAUACAGGAUUUUCUGUCGAUUUUCAUCAUCCUUUUAGGUUGCUGCAGAUGACAUCUGACAUAAUGAUGCUAAUCACAACACCUACCUGUCGAGAAGAGUAAUGACAAACAUGUGACAUCAGUGGCACCCUCCUUACUAAUCAAUGCCCUUCUAAUGCCAACAACCUUUCAGAAUUGCAGCAGAGUACAGCUCAUCAAGACAGAGAAGUCACGCCAGCAGGAACAAGAGGUCACAGAGGAGCCACAGUCAGAAAUGAGAGACAGUGGCUGGUGCUUAGCAGCAGAUCUGCUCAGAGUCUCCUCAGGGUGGAUUGUGCCCAAGGAGCUGCACUUGAUCAUAAGCAACUCUUUGCUUGACUUAGAAGGCUGCAAAGCCCUUACAGAAAUCUAAAGGAAGCAUCAAAGAAGUAAUGCUGGGGGAAAAUGUGGAGCUGCCCUAUGCCAGUGUUCUCAGGUCACUGCAUUGGGGCUAGGAAGGGCCACCAGCUCCGUGUUUCUGGACUUCUCCUGCCAAAGGCAUCUAAGAGCCACCUACAAGUUGCAAAAUUUACUUUCAACAGAAAGAAGAGUAUUCUAAGAACCAAAAAGUCUCUGAAAUGCUUAUAAGAUGCUGAAGCAGUUCACAGAGAGCCAGAGCCAUAUUUCAAAAGCCAUCUCCAUUUAUUAGAUACUGUAUCCACUAGGAGGGGUAGGCGUGAUUAUCAUAACUGCUAUGAAUGAUUCUGGUUUGGGUUGUGAGCCUAGUCUUUAACGGCUGAGCUGUCCCUCCAGCCCUAUGGAUGAUUCUGGAGGAAAAAAGGAUUUAAGCCAGCUCCCAAGCCAGGACUAACAUCUAAGGUCAUAGAAUAUCUUUUUCAGCACCGGGUCUUCUCUUUCCUGUUUUCCAUUUGGAAGGUACGGUUUCCCAACUAAGUUCCUCGCCUUUGGAUGCUAAGCAUCUCUUGCAGUCUUAUCCUGAAGAGGAAAACAGACAAAUAAACAAAACCCUCACAGCAGUUUUUAAUGGGUGAGACCAGUCAUUGUGACAUUACUGUGACUUUGGGCUCAGGGCAGGGAGCAGGAAGUUCCCUAUGGAGCCAGGUCAACUUUCCUGGGAUGGCUGAAGGUAAUACAGCCAGAGCCAGGUCAGAACACUUCAGAGGCAUGGGUCUGCAGGCUUCCUGGAGUGAACCAGUCCUUCACCAUCUACCUGGGCAGCACUGUGAACAAUGGACUGGCCAGCACCUCGGUACUUCACGUGGUGAGGACCUUUCACUUGUGGCAGAGUCCUGCAAAGUAGUCGUCACAUGCGCAGAGUCUUAUGACUCCUGCUUUCUCUCCUUCUCUGCCUCUUUCAUCGUGCUCAAAACACAUUUACUGCCUCUCUAAUUCAACUUAGUUGACAGAAGAAGCAACAGUUUGAGAGGUUGUCUUCUCCAAUCGAGAUGGAGAGCUAGGAGCUGUGGACUACCAUUUCAGUCAAUAAUGGGCAGCAUGUGCCUUGCUGAACAGUCACCCUGUGACGUGGCAACCGUAUUAGGUUGUGUAAGCACCAUCUGAUAGUCACAUAGCAGAAUGUCUAUUGAUGUGUGUCUCCAAUGAAACCCCGUUGUUAAGCAACAUCCACAGUCAUUAUAACAUGAUAGUACAAAGAAAUGAGGAGUGGUGUGUAAAGUAACAGUCUUUAAAAUAAAAAUUUCAGGGGCUGGAGAGAUAGCUCAGCAGUGAAGAGAACUUGCUUCUCUUCCAGAGGACCUAAGUUUUAUUCCUAGUACCCAUGUCAGGUGGCUCACAGCUCCCUAUAACUACAGCUUCAUGGAAUCUGGUAUCCUCUUCUGGCCUCCUCAGGGACCCAUGUGGCACACAUACACAUGUAUCUAAAUUUAGAG